UAGGUAAUGGGUCCCACAGGACCAGUCAACAGUGUUCUGGGCUUCACACUGCAUAGAAAUCAAACAUGAGUCAAAAAGUGAGGGUUUAUUAAAGAUAGUACAGAUAUGGACAGAGGAUCCAGGAGACUCAGAAAGGAAAAAAAAGUAAGGAUGCAAAUAGUACCUACCUGAUGAGGUUACUACAGUGGGGAUUAAAUGAUACUUGGGAAUGCCUGAGAGAGGAUUGGAUCAUAGGCAGAGAUAAAGAAGAAUUUCAUUGGGAUUCUAUUUCACCUAAUAGCACAGCCCUCUCAGUGGUAUGAAGAGCCGUGAAGGAAAGAAAAAAUACAUGCUAUCCA